GACAGCUCAGUUGGUAGAGCAUGAGACUCUUAAUUCCAGGAUCGUAGGAUAGAACCCCAUGUUGAACA